rnacentral:rRNA from 1 species
CCUACGGGUGGCAGCAGUCGGGAAUAUUGCGCAAUGGAGGAAACUCUGACGCAGUGACGCCGCGUGCAGGAAGAAGGUUCUCGGAUUGUAAACUGCUUUAGACAGGGAAGAAACAAGACAGUACCUGUCAACUAAGCUCCGGCUAACUACGUGCCAGCCGCCGCGGUAAUACGUAGGGAGCACGCGUUAUCCGGAUUUAUUGGGUGUAAAGGGUGCGUAGACGGGAAGUCAAGUUGGUUGUGAAAUCCCGCGGCUGAACUGAGGAACUGCAACCAAAACUAACUUUCUUGAGUGCUGGAGAGGAAAGUGGAAUUCCUAGGGGAGCGGUGAAAUGCGUAGAUAUUAGGAGGAACACCAGUGGCGAAGGCGACGUUCUGGACAGUAACUGACGUUGAGGCACGAAAGUGUGGGGAGCAAACAGGAUUAGAUACCCGUGGAGUUC